rnacentral:rRNA from 1 species
UACGUAGGGACCAAGCGUUGUCCGGAUUUAUUGGGCGUAAAGAGCUCGUAGGCGGCACGGUAAGUCGGGAGUUAAAACACUGGGCUUAACCCAGUGUCGCUUCUGAUACUGCCGAGCUUGAGUGUGGCAGGGGAGAACGGAAUUCCACGUGUAGCGGUGAAAUGCGCAGAUAUGUGGAAGAACACCAGUGGCGAAGGCGGUUCUCUGGGCCAUAACUGACGCUGAGGAGCGAAAGCGUGGGGAGCGAACAGG